rnacentral:rRNA from 1 species
CCUACGGGAGGCAGCAGUGAGGAAUAUUGGUCAAUGGAGGCAACUCUGAACCAGCCAAGUCGCGUGAAGGAUGACGGUCUUAUGGAUUGUAAACUUCUUUUGCAAGGGAAUAAAGUGGGGGACGUGUCCUCCUUUGCAUGUACCUUGCGAAUAAGGAUCGGCUAACUCCGUGCCAGCAGCCGCGGUAAUACGGAGGAUCCGAGCGUUAUCCGGAUUUAUUGGGUUUAAAGGGUGCGCAGGCGGGAUGUUAAGUCGGCGGUGAAAUUUUGCAGCUCAACUGUAAAAGUGCCUUCGAUACUGGCUUUCUUGAGUGUGGAUGAAGUAGGCGGAAUUUGUGGUGUAGCGGUGAAAUGCAUAGAUAUCACGAGGAACUCCGAUUGCGCAGGCAGCUUACUAAACCACUACUGACGCUCAUGCACGAAGGCGUGGGGAUCAAACAGGAUUAGAUACCCUGGUAGUCCACGCAGUAAACGAUGAUUACUCGCUGUUUGCGAUACACAGUAAGCGGCUUAGCGAAAGCGUUAAGUAAUCCACCUGGGGGAGUACGUUCGCAAGAAUGAAACUCAAAGGAAUUGACGG